ACUGUGCUGAUGCGGAGGGAUCAUUACCGAGUUUACAACUCCCAAACCCCUGUGAACAUACCACUUGUUGCCUCGGCGGAUCAGCCCGCUCCCGGUAAAACGGGACGGCCCGCCAGAGGACCCCUAAACUCUGUUUCUAUAUGUAACUUCUGAGUAAAACCAUAAAUAAAUCAAAACUUUCAACAACGGAUCUCUUGGUUCUGGCAUCGAUGAAGAACGCAGCAAAAUGCGAUAAGUAAUGUGAAUUGCAGAAUUCAGUGAAUCAUCGAAUCUUUGAACGCACAUUGCGCCUGCCAGUAUUCUGGCGGGCAUGCCUGUUCGAGCGUCAUUUCAACCCUCAAGCACAGCUUGGUGUUGGGACUCGCGUUAAUUCGCGUUCCCCAAAUUGAUUGGCGGUCACGUCGAGCUUCCAUAGCGUAGUAGUAAAACCCUCGUUACUGGUAAUCGUCGCGGCCACGCCGUUAAACCCCAACUUCUGAAUGUUGACCUCGGAUCAGGUAGGAAUACCCGCUGAACUUAUGCAUAUCAAUAGGCCGGGAGGAA
rnacentral:rRNA from 1 species